AUUGAACGCUGGCGGCAGGCCUAACACAUGCAAGUCGAGCGGAGCGGGGGACGGGUGAGUAAUGCCUAGGAAUCUGCCUGGUAGUGGGGGAUAGCGACCGGAAACGGGCGCUAAUACCGAAUACUAUCACAUGAGCCUAGGUCGGAUUAGCUAGUUGGUGGGGUAAAGGCCGACCAAGGCGACGAUCCGUAGCUGGUCUGAGAGGAUGAUCAGUCACACUGGAACUGAGACACGGUCCAGACUCCUACGGGAGGCAGCAGUGGGGAAUAUUGGACAAUGGGCGAAAGCCUGAUGCAGCCAUGCCGCGUGUAUGAAGAAGGUCUUCGGGUUGUAAAGUACUUUAAGUUGGGAGGCGUUACCAGCAGAAGAAGCACCGGCUAACUUCGUGCCAGCAGCCGCGGUAAUAC
rnacentral:rRNA from 1 species